rnacentral:lncRNA from 1 species
CAGAGAACCAGAAAACUCAAAAGAACCUUCUGAGGUCAUCAGAACAUCGAUUGGCCAGAGCAGUGCAGCCUCCUGCCCAUCACUUCCCUCUCUCUGAACGUGGUCUCUGUGAACUGGGAUUUUGGAAGCGGAUUUGCAGGAUUGAUUACUGGGGAGAAUUUUCCCCAAGGAACAGGAAGAAACAGUCUCUUAUGUAACUGCUCAGAAAGGAGGCUUAAAGAAGAUACUAGUUCCUUGGAGUCUGUCCUCUACAGAUGAGAACCACUACCUGGUAGGCACGGAGAAUUCUGAGGAGUUGCCAGACUCUAGUUCAGAUACUGCCUCUAAUCAGCCUGUGGCCAGGGGUGGGUUAACAGCCUCUUCUCAGGUAUAUCGUUUCCAUCAAAAGCAGCCUGUUCUUUCCUCCCACUCCACAGAGAAACUGCUUCCAACUAGUUCUGAGUCCAGACCUGUUUUCUAAACAGUAACUGCCUAGCUGGGAGGCUUAGCUAGAGACCACUUGUUUAUUGUACAAACAAGGUCAAGCUCUUUGUCUAAGGCUCUGCCUCAGCAGAAUAGUAAACUUUGUUAAACCCUUUGAG